CUGCCAUCGACAGUGCUGUAUUGUCACCCCAGCCUCUGGUCGUAGACUCUGUCCUUGCGGCUGCUACAUCAAGGUUCCGAGAGGUGUCGCCAGAGCCACGAGAUGGUGCCUGCAACGAGGAAACGUGUAGCCCUGUAGCAGAGCAACAUAUGCCACAGCCUGCACAGGAGACAAGCCCCUUUUGUCAUGCACACCAUGACAGUUGCCUCGAUGACAUUGCCCGG